CCUUCGGGGAAGGAUUAGCGGCGAACGGGUGAGGAACACGUGAGGAAUCUGCCUUCAACACUGGGAUAACUCCGGGAAACCGGGGCUAAUACCGGAUACGAGACCUGCAGGCAUCUGCGGGUCUGGAAAGUUUUUCGGUUGAAGAUGACCUCGCGGCCUAUCAGCUUGUUGGUGAGGUAAUGGCUCACCAAGGCGACGACGGGUAGCCGGCCUGAGAGGGCGACCGGCCACACUGGGACUGAGACACGGCCCAGACUCCUACGGGAGGCAGCAGUGGGGAAUAUUGGGCAAUGGAGGGAACUCUGACCCAGCGACGCCGCGUGCGGGAUGAAGGCCUUCGGGUUGUAAACCGCUUUCAGCAAGGAAGAAGCGAAAGUGACGGUACUUGCAGAAGAAGCACCGGCUAACUAUGUGCCAGCAGCCGCGGUAAUACAUAGGGUGCAAGCGUUGUCCGGAAUUAUUGGGCGUAAAGAGCUCGUAGGUGGUUCGUCACGUCGGAUGUGAAAAUCUGGGGCUUAACCCCAGACCUGCAUUCGAUACGGGCGAGCUAGAGUGUGGUAGGGGAGACUGGAAUUCCUGGUGUAGCGGUGGAAUGCGCAGAUAUCAGGAGGAACACCAAUGGCGAAGGCAGGUCUCUGGGCCAUUACUGACACUGAGGAGCGAAAGCGUGGGGAGCGAACAGGAUUAGAUACCCUGGUAGUCCACGCCGUAAACGGUGGGCACUAGUUGUGGGAACCUUCCACGGUUUCUGCGACGCAGCUAACGCAUUAAGUGCCCCGCCUGGGGAGUACGAUCGCAAGAUUAAAACUCAAAGGAAUUGACGGGGCCCCGCACAAGC
rnacentral:rRNA from 1 species